AACGUAGGAGACAAACGUUAUCCGGAGUUACUGGGCGUAAAGGGCGUGUAGGUGGUUUCGUAAGUCUGGCGUGAAAUUUCUCGGCUUAACCGGGAAAGGUCGUCGGAUACUGCGGAACUAGAGGACGGUAGAGGCGUGUGGAAUUCCGGGUGUAGUGGUGAAAUGCGUAGAGAUCCGGAGGAACACCAGUGGCGAAGGCGACACGCUGGGCCGUACCUGACACUGAUGCGCGACAGCAUGGGGAGCAAACAGG
rnacentral:rRNA from 1 species